GACGAACGCUGGCGGCGUGCCUAAUACAUGCAAGUAGAACGCAGUUGCGAACGGGUGAGUAACGUGUAGGUAACUUCCUGGUAGCGGGGGAUAACUUUUGGAAACGAUAUCUAAUACCGCAUACUACCAGAUGGACCUGCGUUGUAUUAGCUAGUUGGUGGGGUAACGUCUCACAAAGGCAACGAUACAUACCCUACCUGAGAGGGUGAUCGGACACACUGGGACUGAGACACGACCCAGACGCCGACGGGAGGCAGCGGUAGGGAAGCUUCGGCAAUGGACGGAAGUCUGACCGAGCAACGCCGAGUGAGUGAAGAAGGUUUUCGGAUCGUAAAGCUCUGUUGUAAGAAAAGCGGUCUCUGACCAGAAAGGGACAGCUAACUACGUGCCAGCAGCCGCGGUAAUAC
rnacentral:rRNA from 1 species